rnacentral:rRNA from 1 species
UACAGAGGUCCCAAGCGUUUGUUCGGAAUUACUGGGCGUAAAGUGUGCGCAGGCGGCCGCGCAAGUCGAGUGUGAAAGCCCCGAGCUUAACUUGGGAAUUGCGCUCGAAACUACGUGGCUGGAGUGUGGCAGAGGAAGGUGGAAUUCCACGUGUAGCGGUGAAAUGCGUAGAGAUGUGGAGGAACACCGAUGGCGAAGGCA